rnacentral:tRNA from 2 species
CAAUAUAGCUCAGUUGGUAGAGCAGCUGAUUCGUAAUCAGCAGGUCAAGGGUUCGAGUCCCUUUAUUGG